ensembl:lncRNA
UUCCUUAUGCCUGUUGUGAGGACUAAAGUUGUGCUCUAAGUUUAAAUGACUGUGCUUAAGAGAUGUAUAAAACAAAAAAUGCCUCUAUCCUGUAAGCCCCACUUACUGCGGGACAGAUAACUUCCUGGAAUGCUGGGGCUGUUGUUUAUAUAAGAUAGAAAGCCUCAUGUUUAUGUUUUUGCUUCUGUAAACAAGCUUGGUUGGCCCAACUGCAGAGGAUGCAUUUAAUCACAAAUAGGCAGGAGGGUCCAUUCAAUCAUUCGAACACUGAAAAACAAUCUAACACCACAUGAUUAGAAUUGCCACUGCAGAGGGAAUCCGCUGUCUGUCAAGGCUAAAUCCAAAGUUCCACCCCAAUAAUCAAGAGGAGCAACCAAAAUGUAUGCAUCAAGCCAGUGAGAAGUUGAAACUCUUCUCAGAUGGCUGUGAAAGCCACUCUAUACUCAAAACCACUGAUGAAGUUCGGAGUAUUGCCACUCUCCUGCAUAUUUGGAUACUAUGAGAAUGAUGUCUCUAACACUAGUCUCAUCAAACAUGUCUCCUGUUCUCUGCCAAAACUUUGGAAGAUGAAAUCUUCACAUUGUUCACUUUUUCUGAUUUUGUCUGCAAGCUCUGUGGAUUGAAGCCACUGACUUCCUAAAGGCUCCAUCUCCUCACCUGCAGUGGGUUGAGAAUUGUCCCUGUUUGUGAUGGUCUGCAUAACUGGCCUGGAAAAUGAAGCCCAAGGAAUUCCCAGUGAAAAAACCCUUUCAGUCUUGAGCUUGGGGCAAAUUUGAGUUGGGAAUGACAAUGAGUACUUGUCUUAGAAACCUAAAGAAGACCUGAGGUCUGCCUUUCAUUUUCUGGUGCAACGUGAAAGCAAUGCUACUUGUCUACUUAGUUGGAAUAAUUUCUACAUGAACAGCUUCCCUUGAGUUUCAGAAUUCUGAGAAAGGUGUCCAUUUGGACUCAGUCUGUCAGUCUAGAGGGUCCUGUCAUGUGACAUCAAGGCAUUGGUGAUGUUCAUCAACAGCUUUAAGGCACCAUUCAAAGCAUCUAUGAUUCUGUAGCUCCGAGUCCUUGACAAAAAAAUUGAGGAAAUGAUACAUAUAUGCAUACUAAAAAAGGAAGUGGGUAAUUUGAUUUUUUUUUCUAGUGGCUUAGCAAGGCAUUCUUACUACAUUAUUGACACAUCAUCUAUGCAAAUUAGGGGACUAAAGUGAUCAUAAAAGAAACAAGAAAAGCAAAAAACAAGGCAAAGAAUUUAGAUUCAAAAGGGGGAUGGUUUUUGUAGGGCUCUUUUAUGUAAGAUGCAAAUGAAGACUAAACUUGAAGUGUGGCCCUAAAAGGCUUCAGUCAGUCCCUUGGUGUUCUAUUUUUCUACUACUGGUUUUGUCUCUUCUUUCAAAUAACACCGAUAUAUAUUUCUCAAAUGAUGUUUGCUUCAGUGAUUGGGAGGAGACAGGGGCCAAGAUCAGCUUGAGUAGGGAGCACUCAAGACUUUUCACUACAGAGUGUAGGAGAUUGGUCAUCUCUGUAUGCUAGGCAGAUUCUCUACACUGAGCUAUAGUCAAACUUCAGCAAAAGAGGC